GGGCAGUAUAUAUACUCACGAGGUAGAAAGAAAAAGGGUCUUUGGUUCUUUGGAGGCGUGAUUUCACGGCUGGAGCUCAUGGAGGGCCCGAGGUGUAACGCCCCGAAUUUUUGGGCUACAUCGACUAAUUUUUCGUAAAACAUAAACGUAGAAUCUUCAUAAAUUUAAAACUUCAACCUCAACGAAAAAUAGUACAAUAAUUAUUACAAACCGAUUCUUUCGAAAAUAAAAUGUCCACUUAGUCAGGAUCGAAAUAAAAUAUUUAAAACACUAAAAUCAUAAUCCCAAAGUCCUCUACCCCAUCUCUCUUUCGUCCUCUAUGCAUGUUUCAAACCGUCAGCCAUCGCAUCUGUAAUAACAUCUGCUCCCGUAUAACAUCACGCAUUAUACGAUCAUCGCAUUCACAUGCACACAUAAGCAAGGGUGAGCUAACAGAAACAUUAUAAGCAUACAUCUCUUAACCAAUCAUUAUGCAUACACCAAUAUGAUAAACGUCAUGCAUACACCAAUAUGCAUCAAACACCAAAUCAGAAUGCAUACACCAAUAUGCAUCAAACAACAUAUCAAAAUGCAUACACCAAUAUGCAUCAAACACCAAAUUAGAAUGCAUACACCAAUAUGCAUAGCGUAAUUCCCAUCACUCUUAUUAGAGCUUCCCCGGGCAGUUAUUAAUUUAUACGAGCUUCACCGGACUAGUAUCCCACGUCACCCCCAUCACUCUUGCAUCAAUGCAAGAGAUUCCCUGGGCGGUUACACACUUCACUCGUGUGUAGGGUUGCUUACCAUCACUCUUAUAGAGCUCCCCCGGCCCAACAACCGCAACGCUUACUAUCGUAACUCCCAUCACUCUUAUUAGAGCUUCCCCGGGCAGUUAUUAAUUUAUACGAGCUUCACCAGACUAGUAUCCCACGUCACCCCAUCACUCUUGCAUCAAUGCAAGAGAUUCCCCGGGCGGUUACACACUUCACUCGUGUGUAGGGUUGCUUACCAUCACUCUUAUAGAGCUUCCCCGGCCCAACAACCGCAACGCUUACUAUCCACCACUCGUUUAACAAGACCAAUUCAAUCAAAAUAACACAUAAUCAAUCACAAUUCAUUUCAUCUAAUAAUCCAUUCCAGUCAUGCUUAACCACCAUUUAAUAAUCAACAUAAUAUCAAUUCAAACAUAUCAUCAAUUCGUUUUGCCUACUUACCAAAGUAGUGCAUACUCAAGAGAAUACACAUCCCCAAACUCAAUUCACAAUCACAAUCUAAUAAUCCUUAAUCAUACUUAACAAAGUAUUUCACAUACAUCUCCUUAUCAACGCGAUUAAACUUACAGUUUAAUUAUCCUCAACCAUACUUAACAAAGUAUUUUCACAUACAACUCACUUCCAUAUCACUUAAUCCAUCAUUCACAAUCAAAUUCACAACUUUCUUCAUGGCAAAAUUCAUUAUCGAAACUUAGGUAACUCAAACAGCUUGGAGACCAUCACCAAUGGUUCCGGAAGGGUCAAAAACCUCCAGAACGACCUAAAGAAUGUCCAAAACGGACAUCCAGAACCCCCAAAACCUCCAAAAACAAAUUCAGCAAAGUGUUGGUGCAUCCAGUGGCGCUGGAGCCCCAUGACAGCAACCAGAUUCGUGUUUUCCACCCAGAUUCGUCCAUUUUGAUUUCUAGCACAGAUUCAACACUUCUAACAUGUUUUCAAACAUAUUUGGAGUCUAAUAUCACUCCACAAUCAACCACAAACAUCAACUAAUCCAUUUACUCAUACAAAACCAACCCUUUAGUGGAUAACAUAACAUUUUCAUGCAUAAUUUCAAACAACUUUCAACCAGCCCUUCAUUACCAAAAAUUAACCUUUCCUUCAAGAUUUUAAACACUAAAGCAACCCCAUAAUGUACUGCAUCAAUUCCAAAAACAGUUUGUACAUACCACUUCCCAACUUCAUAAAAUCAAAGGAAAAAGAGUAGUCUCCACCACUCAUCUCAUCCAAGCAUAUAUCAUGUACUCAACAACUCAUACAUAUUGUAAAUCUCAUUUCCACAUCCAUCCAAAUCAUCAAAUUUUCGUAUACAAUGAUAUACAUGAACAAACUUCUCUGUUUACAUGAUUUUGAUGGUUUUUGACAUCUUAAAAUCCCAUAACAACUCAUCAUAUAACAUACAUACGAAAAUCAAAUGUCCAAUCCAAGUUAGAGUUCAUUUCAUACUCAAAGCAUCUCCUUUCCAUCAAAACAUACCCAAAAACCUUCAUCCAAGAAUAGAACAUCUCCAAUCCAAGAUCUCACAAGAAGAAUUCUCAUUCAUUUCAUUCAUGUUCAUCAUUUGUUCAAGAAACAUUAUUUUCGGAUUUGGAAAUAGGUGAGGUAAAACUCCCAUGUUUUUCAUCUCUUUUUAAGAACCAAAUCAUCCAAAACUUCAUAUUCAUAAGUACAAACAUAUUAGAAUGAAUUCCCAUCAUCAUUCCCAUCAUUCAAUCCAUUAAAUCAUACUUCCAUCUUGUCAAGAUAUUCACACAAACCAAAUCAAUUCAUCCAUCUAAAAUUCAUCAACCAACCAAAACACCCAAUUUUCGUAUUUGAUCAAGAGUGGGUUCAAACUCUCAUGUUUCUCAUCCAAUUUCACAAUUUAAUCCAUCAAAAACAUCAUAUUCAUGUAUAGUAACAUGCUAGAACGAAAAUUCAUCAUCAAUCCAACAUAUAUUCAUCAAUCUUUCAUCAUAAAGAGCAUACAAAAUUUAUAGGUCAAAAUUAUAGCAAAAACCCAAUGGAUAUCAUUUUCUUGGAAUCAAACCAUACAUUCCACCAAACCAAAUUUCCAUACACUUGAUCAUAACAAAAUCAAGAAACUGAAAUCAUAUUCAAAUCCAUACAAUUUUAGAAAAACAUGUUUGAGUUAGCUCCCCUUACCUCUUGAAGAUCUCUUUUGGACACUUCAACUUCUUCUUCCAAGAGAGCAACUCUUCUCCCCCUUGCUAGACCAAGUCAUCUCCCAUCCUUUGGACACUUAGAAUUUUCGUGCUCUCCUCUCCAAGAGCCUCUUUCCUCUGNCCAAAAACUCCAGACCAGAUUUUAGGCUAAAAGAAAUGAGCCUAGACAACCAAGGACCCACCUCCAUGAUGUUUAGCAAUAAUGACCAACCCAUGGACCAUCCUAAACCCUUUUNCAGCNCCAAAACAUGGAAGGAAUGUCUNUAAGGGUCCCCAAAAAUAUUCCCACGAAAAUAAACCCAGCCUACCUACU
rnacentral:lncRNA from 1 species